ensembl:lncRNA
CGGACGUGUCUAUGUGUGGUCCAUAUUAUUUCGAUUAAUUUCUGCAAUCUCUGUUUAAUUCAGAAGUAAAGUAGAGAUAUAACAAUGGCGACGAGGAUUAAUUGGCAUUAGCUAGUUGUAAACUACAGUUUAGUUAGUUAGUAUGGAGAAAUCCGGGAUUCAGCAUUUUGCAUGCUACACCGAGCCGGUGUUCUGCCAUUUUCUGCUACCCAUCAAAUUCUGCUACCUAGUGGUUCUGCGCAUGCGCACGUGUUCAUGCGUGGGCGCCCAUCAGUUUCUGGCGGAUGGUUCCAGAUGGAAGCGAUGGCCGACGUCGUUGCAGCUGUAUGCUGACGGCAAAGGGCCUAUCGUAGCCGCGGAUUCACCUGAUGCUACGAGGCAAAGGAGACGUGCUCUGCUGCUUCAUCUUGCUGGACCAGACGUACAGGACAUCUUAUCAACUCUUCCGGACACGGUGUCCUCGGUCAUGGCUCAAUGUUGGAUACCGAGUGACUGCACCGCUGGGCCGACGCUAGCCUGUCACAUAGCGAUGCCGGAUUAGACCCCCCAGCAGAUGGCGCUAUUGCAACACAUACUCCCUUAGAAGCUCCCUCGUUUUUGAAAUGCUCGUGUUUCCAGACGUAUAUGUCUCGUACGAUGGCGGUACAUCCGUACCGGCAGUGUCCCGCUAAUGUGGUUCUUGAGCCGGAAAAUUGGCGGUGCCUAUUUCCAGAAAUAUCGAUCCCUGCUCACAUGCACACAUGUUCCCUUGGAGGGAAUGUUCAAGAACAUUGCAGGAAAAGACGUUGCAUCAUGUGUGAAAGCUGGUUUGAAAAGUGCUUUAUAAAAAUGGACGAUUAUUGUUAUCAUGAUAUAUUAUAUAAAUGAUGUGAAUGUUUCUUCGAUGGAGAGGAGCUGACGUUGAGAUCAGGAUGGGUGAGCUGUGUCUGAGCUGAACUCUGCGUUAUAAUAAUAACACAUUUCUGUAUCACCCGCUUCAAAAUAACAGUGGAUUCACAUGGUAAUGCAUAUAAAGAUUGAAUAGGUAGUUAGGUACUAGAGGAGUCACGGAAUGGAGGGAGAGGAGUGAAGGGAAGGAGGUGAACUGAUGAAGGCGAUGUCGAGGGGCAGCCUUCUGCGGGCCUGCGAGGACGGAGGUGGCGGCCCGCCGGGGAGAGGAGGCACGGAGAGCGUUCCUCAGGGAGGGCGCGUCCGCGGAGAAGGCCCUGCCAAACCUGGUAAGGCAUCGGCCCCAGUGAGAAGGCCCUGCCAAACCUGAUAAGGCAUCGGCCCCAGUGAGAAGGCCCUGUCAAACCUGGUAAGGCAUCGGCCCCAGUGAGAAGGCCCUGUCAACCCUGAUAAGGCAUCGGCCCCAGUGAGAAGGCCCUGUCAAACCUGAUAAGGCAUCGGCCCCAGUGGUUUGUCAAACCUGAUAAGGCAUCGGCCCCAGUGGUUUGUCAAACCUGGUAAGGCAUCGGCCCCAGUGGUUUGUCAAACCUGAUAAGGCAUCGGCCCCAGUGGUUUUAAUGUGGUUGCAUCUGCAAUUAUGAAUCAGGUUUCUGUGGAAUGUCCCUCGGGGGUAAAUAGAGGAGAUUUGAUCCGACUUUGUGUGCUUCGAGGACAAAUAAGUAUUAAAGUUGGCCUCCAUGCAACGAAAUUCAUUACCUUUAAUGUUAUUAAACUUUCAGACUUCUCAAUAUACUCUUGUUUCAUGCAAUUAUUGCACUUUAAAUGUUCCGAUCCCGGUCUCAAUUAGAACUAUUACACAAACCAUCGUUUUUAAAAAGAUAGUCUGACCAAGGCACUCUUCUUAAAGUUAUUAUUAUUAUUCAUUAUUAUACAAACCAUUUGAGAUAAUCUUUUACCUCAGGAACAGCGAGGAACAAAAUGGAUAACAAGGUCAUGAAACGAGCACGGCUUCAGUGACUCUGGGCCUCAUGCUCGUCAUGUCUGCACUGGUAUGCACCGGAGAAGAUGGUUUGUCACACAUGUACACACUGCCUAAUACACACACGUACACACCGCCUAUACACACACACCAGACACACUGCAGUAUACACACACAUUAGACACAGUGCAUAUGACACAAACAAUGUAAACACUGCAGAAUACACACUGCAGAAAACCCAUAUCAGACACACUGCAUAAUACACACACAUACAAGCAGAACCCCUCAGAGACACUGCAACAUAUUAAUACACCCACAUGCACCCCCACAUACCCACUUUAACAAAUUCCCAGGAGCCAAACAGGAAGAGAAAUUAAAGUGUGAAAAGACGAUCUACUCCAGUGAAUAAAUCAAGCGUUUACUGUUCCG